rnacentral:rRNA from 1 species
GAUGAACGCUGGCGGCGUGCUUAACACAUGCAAGUCGAACGAUGAACCGGGUGCUUGCACUCGGGGAUUAGUGGCGAACGGGUGAGUAACACGUGAGCAACCUGCCCCUGACUCUGGGAUAAGCGCUGGAAACGGCGUCUAAUACUGGAUAUGUCCCGUCACCGCAUGGUGUGCGGGUGGAAAGAUUUUUCGGUUGGGGUUGGGCUCGCGGCCUAUCAGCUUGUUGGUGAGGUAAUGGCUCCACAAGGCGUCGACGGGUAGCCGGCCUGAGAGGGUGAACGACAACACUGGGACUGAGAAACGGCCCAGACUCCUACGGGAGGCAGCAGUGGGGAAUAUUGCACAAUGGGCGGAAGCCUGAUGCAGCAACGCCGCGUGAGGGAUGAAGGACUGAGGGUAGUAAAACUAUUUUAGCAAGGAAAAAGCGAGAGAGACGGUACCUGCAGAAAAAGCACCGGCUAACUACGUGCCAGCCGCCGCAGUAA